rnacentral:rRNA from 1 species
AUUGAACGCUGGCGGCAGGCCUAACACAUGCAAGUCGAACGAGUGGCGGACGGGUGAGUAAUGUCUGGGAAACUGCCUGAUGGAGGGGGAUAACUACUGGAAACGGUAGCUAAUACCGCAUACCAUCGGAUGUGCCCAGAUGGGAUUAGCUAGUAGGUGGGGUAAAGGCUCACCUAGGCGACGAUCCCUAGCUGGUCUGAGAGGAUGACCAGCCAAACUGGACUGGGGACAGGGUCAGGCCUCCUACGGGGGGCAGCAGUGGGGAAUAGUGAACAAUGGGCGCAAGCCUGAUGCAGCCAUGCCGGGUGUAUGAAGAAGGCCUUCGGGUUGUAAAGUACUUUCAGCGGGGAGGCGUUACCCGCAGAAGAAGCACCGGCUAACUCCGGGCCAGCAGCCGGGUAAUAC